rnacentral:rRNA from 1 species
GCCCCCCGGCCCGGGAUAGCCCAGGGAAACCUGGAUUAAUACCGGAUGAGACGGGACCCGCGAUGGCGGGACCCGGGAAAGGCGCUGCGGCGCCGCCGGGGGAUGAGUCUGCGUCCCAUUAGCUAGACGGCGGGGUAACGGCCCACCGUGGCGACGAUGGGUAGCCGGCCUGAGAGGGUGGACGGCCACAUUGGAACUGAGACACGGUCCAGACUCCUACGGGAGGCAGCAGCUAAGAAUCUUCCGCAAUGGGCGAAAGCCUGACGGAAGCGACGCCGCGUGAACGAAGAAGGCCGUGAGGUUGUAAAGUUCUUUUCGGGAGGGGAACAACCGUGGCAGGGAAUGGCCGCGGGAUGACGUGAAUCCCGGAAUAACGCCCCGGCUAACUACGUGCCAGCCGCGGC